UGGAUCGUCUCGUGAGCUACGGUGAGCUACAAAUGGCGCCAGGUUCUUCAGCUUUGAAUGCCUUCCUACAAAUGAUAACUGGAUAAAAGCAUGGGAGACUUGAUUGAAUUCUUGAAACAAAGAGAAGUCUCUGAGGAAAUUAUACAGACCUUGGAGAAUGAGAAGAUUGAUGCCAGUGUCAUAAGUCUAAUGACAGAUGAGGAGCUGAAGACUUAUUUGCCAUCAUAUGGUGAUCGUCUAGCAGUAUUUGGAUUUUGCAGACGGAGGGGCAGCAGCCGCAA